rnacentral:tRNA from 1 species
GCUGGGGUAGCUCAACCGGUAGAGCAACGCAUUCGUAAUGCAUGGGUCGUGAGUUCGAAUCUUAUCCCCAGCUCCA